AUUGAACGCUGGCGGCAGGCUUAACACAUGCAAGUCGAACGAGUGGCGGACGGGUGAGUAAUGCUUGGGAAUCUGGCUUAUGGAGGGGGAUAACUACGGGAAACUGUCGCUAAUACCGCAUACCAUAGGAUGAGCCCAAGUGGGAUUAGGUAGUUGGUGGGGUAAUGGCCCACCAAGCCGACGAUCUCUAGCUGGUCUGAGAGGAUGACCAGCCACACUGGAACUGAGACACGGCCCAGACUCCUACGGGAGGCAGCAGUGGGGAAUAUUGCGCAAUGGGCGCAAGCCUGAGGCAGCCAUGCCGCGUGAAUGAAGAAGGCCUUCGGGUUGUAAAGUUCUUUCGGUGACGAGGCGUUACCCACAGAAGAAGCACCGGCUAACUCCGUGCCAGCAGCCGCGGUAAUAC
rnacentral:rRNA from 1 species